UACGAAGGGGGCUAGCGUUGCUCGGAAUUACUGGGCGUAAAGGGCGCGUAGGCGGCACUGUUAGUCAGGCGUGAAAGUCCUGGGCUCAACCUGGGAACUGCGCUUGAUACGGCAGAGCUAGAGGAUGGAAGAGGAUCGCGGAAUUCCCAGUGUAGAGGUGAAAUUCGUAGAUAUUGGGAGGAACACCGGUGGCGAAGGCGGCGAUCUGGGUGGUGACUGACGCUGAGGCGCGAAAGCGUGGGGAGCAAACAGG
rnacentral:rRNA from 1 species